UACGUAGGGGCCUAGCGUUGUCCGGAUUUAUUGGGCGUAAAGAGCUCGUAGGCGGUUCGGUAAGUCAGGUGUGAAAUCUCCACGCUCAACGUGGAGGAGCCACCUGAUACUGCCGUGACUCGAGUCCGGUAGGGGAGUGUGGAAUUCCCGGAUGUAGCGGUGAAUGCGCAGAUAUCGGGAGGAACACCAGUAGCGAAGGCGGCACUCUGGGCCGGUACUGACGCUGGAGGAGCGAAAGCGCGGG
rnacentral:rRNA from 1 species